UGCUCGAAAGUAGUUUAUAAAUAUGGGGAUAAAACAAAACACACACACACAGAGACAAUUUUUUAAGGCGCAGUUGUGGUUUAAUGAUAGAGACAGACUGGAGGAGUCCACAGGGAAAUAAUUAAAUACACACACAGUCCAGUGAUCUCAACUUAACAAACCAGAGAUAGAAAAGAUGCCUAAUGCCACUACAAGACCCAAGAGGAUGAGGCGUCACAGAUGAGCUCAGAGGAGAUGCUGCAAGAAAUGAGCUGGUGUCAAGAUCAUUGGAAAGUACUCAUUUACUCAUGUACUCAUUUUGUUCACUCUCAGUUGGCUCUGUAAGACUUUGCAAAUGAGUCCUUUAGGUUCACUCUGUUUAGAUGGGCUGAUGAGCUGGACUCUCUUGGACAUAUCCAGGAACUCUUUGAUUGCAAUGAACAAGCUUUGGAGUUGUUUCCAGUGGAUGAGGUUAUAGUGAACAGCAUGUGAGAGCAUCUGUUCAGGCCAUUUUUACAAAGCCCUUUAACUUUGACCAGACUUCCCAGAGGCGAAGGAGAGCCUUUACUGUGUUGCCAACUGGUUGGUGGAACGCUGGCACUUCUUAAUGCUCAGUGAUCAUGGGUCGGAACCACAAACACUAGUUGGCUAUAAAAAAUAUUUUGAGGGAAGAUACAGCUCCAUUCUGUAUAUAGGAACUGGCACGGGCAUCCUUGGGCAUUGCUGAGGGCUUGUGAGCUGUCAAAGACAAUGUAUGAGCUGGCAUGUGAGGUGUUCUCAGCCAAUGGGAUGGCAGAUAGCAUCAAGAUCCUUCACCUGAAGUCUCUGGACAUGGAAAUUCCAAAAGAUAUUCCAAACAGACUGUGAGCGUCUUCAGUGGGAGGCUUGGAUCUGUCUGCAGUAGGACGGAUCUGUGGUCCAGUUAGAUGUUUGGCUGAAACUGAGGACAGCACAGAACUCUACAACACUGAAAGACUGAGCCACCCGUGUGCUUUCUAAAGCAUCAUGCAACACUGAAAAAAGACUGGAGUAAUGGCUGCUGAAAAUUCAACUGUGCCAAAAACAGGAAUAAAUGAGAUUUUACAAUAUAUUAUAAUAGAGAACAGACUAUUUAAAUUGCAAUAACAAUUCACAUUUUGAGUAUUUUGAAGUAUUUACGCUAUCAUAAAAGAUGGACAAUGUAACCGGACCUUCCAAGAUCAUUAGUUGGCUUGAGAAAGCCAACUUACUGAUCUAUUAUUUAAACUUCUUAUUAUUAUUCUUAUGAGGCUAAAAUUUUCAACUCUUACUCCUCCUAGAGCUUUAACUCUACAGACUCCAAACUCUGAAGUCAGUUGCUUUAUCUUUUCUAACUGAGUGGACUUAUGGUUUUCAUAAAGAUUAAUAAAUAAAUCAUAAAAAUGUUUUGAAACAUUUUAAUUCAUAAAGAUAAAUCAUGAGGACAUGGACUAGAUGACGCCAUGUGCUAAUUAGCAUAUUUAUGAUAUAAGUGCAUCAUAUUGUAUUGCCUCCCUUUGCUCACAUACUGCAUUUUAAUUCAGCCAUUUAAUUUAAUUCUCAAUAAAACAGUUUUUAUUACUAAAUUUUAAUUUUUCUGUUGUCAGACAACGGAAUGAAUAUUAUAAUGACUGAAACGCGAUCCAUUAAGGCUACAUAACCAGCACUCAAAGAUUAUCUGCACUAAUGAAAUCAAAUACACAUACGAUAAAGUCAGUGGUUGUGCUGUGACUGAUGUGGGCUAUACUUUCUUGUAAAAUAGAGUUAGAAGCAACAGAAUAUCUUCUUUU